GAAAAUCGCAAUUCGAGAUCUAAAUAAAAUCUUACCCUAAAAGGUCAAACUCAGGUGAAUCUAAGACAAAUAACAAAUUAAGGUUUGCCAUUUUUGUGAAUCACAAACCAUAAAAUUGAAUAAAGGUCGAAACCAAAAAUCAAAAGUACAAUCACCACUAUAACAGAUCGAAACAGACAUCGGAACAUAAAAACUAAUCCAAUCAUAACAUGAUUCAGAAGCGGAUCUCAAUAAAUUAAAAGUAGAAAUUCAAAGAAGGGAUGAGAUCGAGGGGACUCACUAUUCAGGAUUCAUCACGAUGAAUUCGACCGGAUUGGACCGGUCCAGGCGGGAACUGAACUGGAAUUUACAGGUAAGAGCGAAGCAGAGGAGAGACAGAGGGGAGACUAUAAAAAGGGGAUUAUCGUAAGUAAUGAAGAAAUAAACAAAGUGAAAGUAAGAAGAAGAAGAAAAGGAAAUGAAUAAGAAGUGUUAAUG
rnacentral:lncRNA from 1 species